GAGAGCCGUGUGAGGUGAAAGUCUCAUGCACGGUUCGGAAUGGGAGUCGUGGUAGGUGACUACCACUUCGACCCCUAAU
rfam:Crocosphaera watsonii WH 8501 ctg92, whole genome shotgun sequence.